AGCCACUUGACGAGUCACAAAUAGAAUGAAACACGUGUCGUGGAU
rfam:Schistosoma margrebowiei strain Zambia genome assembly, scaffold: SMRZ_contig0002176